CACACUUGGGAAAGGAAGCAUGGCGUGCGAGCUGCGAGCUGUGUUGCUGUGGGGCCGCGGGCUGCAGACUGUACUGCGGGCCCCCGCGCUGGCUGGAGUUCGGCGAGGUGAGCGCGGCACGAGAGCGCAGAGGCGGCGUCUGAGGCUGUGUGCACACUCUUAGACCGGCGGGAGGCCGCACUGCGCCGGAGCUGCUAAGUGGGGCGGGGAGUAGGACCUUGUGGUCGCUUUUGGGGAGCCGAGUCACGGGCAGCCACAGCCUGCUCUCGUCAGUCCCUGGUAGUCCUGAUUGCAGACGCUCCCGCGCUUGGGUUGACAAGUUCGUUGCACGCGGCUGUUCACAAGCUCAGCUCUCGCAGAAGUCAAGCCCUGGGGUAACUACGGUGAGCAAAACCAACGGUUACCCAGGACUUCAGGGAGCCAGUGAACUCCGCGUGUUUGAUCCCUGGAAUUGAAAGAGAAAGGAAAGGAGAGAGAAUAACCUUAAUCUAUACUUUCCCACCCCGCACUCAUGUAACAGUGAAGAUGUUAGCGUUACAUACACUUAAAUUAUACGUAUUUACAGCUAUUUUUACAUAAAAGGGCUCAAGUCAAGAAUUAACUGCGAAAGAAUAUUAAAGCUUCUGGCAUUCAUUAC
rnacentral:lncRNA from 1 species